rnacentral:rRNA from 1 species
UACGAAGGGGGCUAGCGUUGCUCGGAAUUACUGGGCGUAAAGCGCGCGUAGGCGGCUUGACAAGUCGAGUGUGAAAUCCCCGGGCUUAACCUGGGAGCUGCAUUCGAAACUGUCUUGCUAGAGUAUGGGAGAGGGAGGUGGAAUUUCAGGUGUAGCGGUGAAAUGCGUAGAUAUCUGAAGGAACAUCAGUGGCGAAAGCGACCACCUGGACCAAUACUGACGCUAAGGUGCGAAAGCGUGGGGAGCAAACAGG